rnacentral:rRNA from 1 species
AGGUAGUGACAAUAAAUACUGAUACAGGGCUCUUUUGGGUCUUGUAAUUGGAAUGAGUACAAUUUAAAUCCCUUAACGAGGAACAAUUGGAGGGCAAGUCUGGUGCCAGCAGCCGCGGUAAUUCCAGCUCCAAUAGCGUAUAUUAAAGUUGCUGCAGUUAAAAAGCUCGUAGUUGGAUUUCUGACCUGCAACAUUUGGCCGGCCACGGUUUCGUGUGUUAGUGCUUGAUGUUCUGGCCAUCCUUCCAAUCGCUGCGUCGUCGUCACCUUCAUUGAUGCGGCGACGUAGUCAUUGGAUCUUUUACUUUGAACAAAUUAGCAGUGUUUCAAGCAGGCUUAUUGCUAUGAAUACCUUAG